CCAGGCCAUACUACUACUGAACGCAUGCCCAAUCUCACCUGAUCUCGGAAGCUAAGCAGGGUCGGGCCUGGUUAGUAAUUGGAUGGGAGAUGGCCUGGG
rnacentral:rRNA from 1 species